rnacentral:rRNA from 1 species
GACGAACGCUGGCGGCGCGCCUAACACAUGCAAGUCGAACGGAGUCAAGAGGAGCUUGCUUUUCUUGACUUAGUGGCGAACGGGUGAGUAACGCGUGAGUAACCUGCCCUGGAGUGGGGGACAACAGUUGGAAACGACUGCUAAUACCGCAUAAGCCCACGGAUCCGCAUGGAUCUGCGGGAAAAGGAUUUAUUCGCUUCAGGAUGGACUCGCGUCCAAUUAGCUAGUUGGUGAGGUAACGGCCCACCAAGGCGACGAUUGGUAGCCGGACUGAGAGGUUGAACGGCCACAUUGGGACUGAGACACGGCCCAGACUCCUACGGGAGGCAGCAGUGGGGGAUAUUGCACAAUGGGGGAAACCCUGAUGCAGCGACGCCGCGUGGAGGAAGAAGGCUUUCGGAUUGUAAACUCCUGUCGUUAGGGACGAUAAUGACGGUACCUAACAAGAAAGCACCGGCUAACUACGUG